rnacentral:lncRNA from 1 species
UUAAGUCUUAAAGCACACCAUAACAUCAAAACACUCUCUCCUAGGAUUUGACAUACUCUAAAACCGGCUUUCCCAGACCACAGGCACAAACACCUCCACAAACUUCUGAACUUUAAAUUUUAAAAUCGUGAUCGUAGUUUUUCUUAUAUUAAAAACAACUUGGUUUUGAAGCUAUCUUUUAAAAAAUUGAGACUCAGUUCUUUUUUUUUUUUUUUUUUUAACAAUUGUCUAUUUCCUUAUCACGGGGAGGGUGUUACUGGUGAUAUGAAUUAACUGUGAGAAAUCUAAGAAAAAUAUUAUCUCCAAAUGCUCUUCGAAAUAGAUGCUCGCACUAUCUUUAAAUGGUUGUUAAGAAUUUCAGAAAAAAUUAAAAAAAAAAAAAGCUAGCUAGCAACAUUAACAGCUUCAGAAAAUAUAAACUGUGUCUCUUUAGAAGAUCAAGUUGUGCUUAAUAGCCUAUACACUUAAUUUGUUCAGAAUCUCCACAGUCUUUGUUGCUGUAUUUUGUUAGAAAGGAAGGAGAGGCUGUUUCUACAGGUGCCACAGAAAAAUCGAUGCAGAGCCACCGAUUAUUGGAUCCCAUAGAACUGUGGAGACUUGGCAGUGAAAUUCUUCCAAAGCACUCUGUCUGCGCAGGCAGAGGUGUUCCUGGUUUGGGAAGUAUAAAUCCCGUGGGAAGCCAACUGGAGGACAUUUUAUGCAUCACUCAUCCUAUUAUGAGCC